UACGUAGGUGGCAAGCGUUGUCCGGAUUUACUGGGCGUAAAGAGCGUGCAGGCGGUCGGAUCAGUCGAAUGUGAAAGCCCCCGGCUCAACUGGGGAGGGUCAUUCGAUACUGUCCGACUCGAAGGCAGGAGAGGGAAGCGGAAUUCCCGGUGUAGUGGUGAAAUGCGUAGAUAUCGGGAGGAACACCAGUGGCGAAGGCGGCUUUCUGGCCUGUUCUUGACGCUGAGGCGCGAAAGCUAGGGGAGCGAACGGG
rnacentral:rRNA from 1 species